UUCCGCUCGCGGAGCUUCAGUUGGCGCACACCGGCGCGCGGCUCUGGUUGUCAUGGCAACGGGCCGUCUCGGUCGCGGGUGCGCCUGCCCGGCCCUGCACGCCCUCGUCGUCGUCUCUAGAGCUGCUGAGGAAGAGGUCUUUCUGGCGGCUUCGGCGCCGGAGAGGUUUGUGUUUUACGUGGAAGACCUCUCCGAAGGGACUCGGACUCGUAGCCUUUAAAAGACCACACCAGGGGAGCUUGAGCCUGGUGGGAUUAGCAGUAUUCGCUUGGGUUAUAAACCGUGACUUUCUCUAAUUAAAGAAACUGCACCAACUCACAGAAAACAUUUCCUCCUGGAUUUUGCAUCAGUUUUGCUGCCUGAUGGCCUGCUUCCCAGGUUCCACUGCUGCCUGCCUCCCAGGACCUCUUCCUCGGGGGUUCUUCCUCUCCACCAGCUACCAAACCCCAGCUUUGAACUUCCUGCCCACAGGGUGAUUGAUCCACCUGCAAAAAUGUCCUACAUUCUGUGCACCUUUUAGAAGUGGAAGUGCCUGGAUAUUAUUGACUUUUGGGGUUCUCCUUUUCAUAAACUGCUGUUAUUAUCACAUUCAGAAAUUAAUCAGAGUUCUCAUAAAACAUCUGUUUUAAAUAGGAAGUCCAAUAAACUUCCUCUGUUGACUUGGA